UACGUAGGGACCAAGCGUUGUUCGGAUUUACUGGGCGUAAAGGGCGCGUAGGCGGCAUGACAAGUCACUUGUGAAAUCUCCGGGCUUAACUCGGAACGGUCAAGUGAUACUGUCGCGCUAGAGUGCGGAAGGGGCAAUCAGAAUUCUUGGUGUAGCGGUGAAAUGCGUAGAUAUCAAGAGGAAUACCUGAGGUGAAGACGGGUUACUAGGCCGACACUGACGCUGAAGCGCGAAAGCCAGGGGAGCAAACGGG
rnacentral:rRNA from 1 species